AGCCGCCUCCAGACUCCCUCUUCACAUUUUAUGUCAACUCUGGGGCCCUGCUGGCUGAAAGUGAGUUCUGUUUUCCGGCAGCCCUGUGGCUUUUGGACUCGGCCUUGAAAUUAGUUCAUGGCGACCCAGGCACACAUCGCGCUGGGAAGCCACGUGGGAGCCGUGCGGGUGGAGCGGCCGCCGCAGCCAGACUGAAAUGUAGCACAGCGCCUGGGCCUCGUCAGGCCUUUAUGACAGAGUGUAAAGGGAAUUGCUGCUUAGUCACCAAUUUGCUUGGCAAGAUUGGAUGGAUUAGGAAACACGUCGAAGGUCAGACAGUAGGAGUUUGUCUAGACGCUCUAUUUUGGACUCGGCGCUGACCCGAGGUGUUUCUGUAGCAACCUUUUCAACACUGCUAUUCUGGCAAUAUUGGAGAAAACAUGAUCCCUCCUAUCAUCAGCCGCCCCUAGUCAUUUCUCACAGGUUUGAAGCAGACCUUUCCAGGGAGAGGGGAGAGAGAAGGGAGAUGGGGAAGGAUGGGGAGACGCCAUGAGGAGGUAGCCACCUCCGGGGAUCCCCGGAAGCCUGGACGUGCUCUGCCCAGUGGUUCUGUCCCCAGGGAACACGUGGUCAUGUCUGGAGGCAUCUGUGGCUGUCACAGUCAUGGGAACAUUCAAGUCCUGAUGUGGACUCUGUCCUGCUGCAGCAGGAAAUCCAGAGAUGCCUCUGCCACCACGGCGAUGGGCUCUGGCCAGAGCAGCAGGAGGGAGCUGGGCCCACAUGGCCGUCACCGUGGUUUGCCCACAGCUGCUGUUUCUGAGCCAUCACAGGGUCAGGGGCAUCCAGGGAGCACGCUGAGAUGCAGCCUCUGCUGCAGCCCGGCAGAUGUGUAGCUGCUUCUGGAGCACACCCGGGGAACACCCUUUCUUCCUAUGGAUGCCAGCUGGACUCACUGUGCAGACAGGGCCUGAACCAGACCAGAGGCACUGGCUUCUAGGCGAGGGACCUUCUCAGCACGGGACCUGCAGCUGCCUUUCCCACACUCACACAGGCUCUUCCCAUUGUCCUAAGAACCCUGUGGAGGUACAGGCAGGGGUUAUCCAAAUGCUGACUCAUGUGAGUCCGACAGGAGCAUGGUGCCCGCCCGAGGAGUGUCGACCUCACGCUAGCCACUUAGGUCCCCUUUGCUGUUGGACUUGCAGCUUCUGCAGGCAAGAACCAGGUGACGUCCCCUCCGUUCUCCAGCAGCAGCUGUGGGCCCACUUGGGGUAGAAGUGAAUGAAUGAGUGACAAACUGAGGAUGCAGAUGCCUCGGCUGCAGAGGAGCAAAGACAGACAUUUCAUUUGACUGCUCGGAAACCACACAAGCAGGAAAAGAAUGAAAUGAAAUAUUUAAAGUGUUGAGAAAGGAAAAAAUAGACGCCAACCUACAAUUCUGUACCCUGUGAAGUUAUCCUUUAAAGUGAAGGAGAAAAAAAAGACUUUCCCAGAAACACAAAACUUGAGGGAAUCAGUUGUCAAUAAACCUGCCCUGUGAGAAAUGAGAAAGGAAGCUCUUUAGAGUGAGAAUACUACUCAGAUCCGAAGACAGGAAGAAUGUUGGAGGAGGAAAAAGCAAAGUAAGAUAAAAACACUGUUCUGAUUCUCCACUGAUCUAAGAGAGAAGUUUGUCCAAAGUAAUAGCAACAAUGCAUUUGGUCAUGUGUGCUUAUAUACAUUAAAUAUGUAUGCUGACAUAUGUAUAUACA